rnacentral:rRNA from 1 species
AAGCCUGAAGGAGCAGCGCCGCGUGAGCGAUGAAGGCCUUCGGGUCGUAAAGCUCUGUUGGCGGGGAGGAACAGUAUCGGAGUAACUGCCGGUGCCUUGACGGUACCUGCCCAGAAAGCCCCGGCUAACUCCGUGCCAGCAGCCGCGGUAAUACGUAGGUGGCAAGCGUUGUUCGGAAUUAUUGGGCGUAAAGCGCGCGUAGGUGGUUCCUUAAGUCUGAUGUGAAAGCCCCGGGCUCAACCGGGGAAGGUCAUUGGAAACUGGGGAACUUGAGUGCGGAAGAGGAGAGCGGAAUUCCACGUGUAGCGGUGAAAUGCGUAGAGAUGUGAAGGAACACCAGUGGCGAAGGCGGCUCUCUGGUCUGUAACUGACGCUGAGGCGCGAAAGCGUGGGGAGCGAACAGGAUUAGAUACCCUGGUAGUCCACGCCGUAAACGAUGAGUGCUAAGUGUUAGAGGGUUUCCGACCUUUAGUGCUGCAGCAAACGCAUUAAGCACUCCGCCUGGUGAGUACGGCCGCUAGGCUGAUACUCAAAGGAAUUGACGGUUGCUCGCACAAGCGGCGUAGCAUGUGGUUUAAUUCGAAGCAACGCGAAGAACCUUACCAGGUCUUGACAUCCUCUGACACCCCUAGAGAUAGGGCGUUCCCCUUCGGGGGACAGAGUGACAGGUGGCGCAUGCUUCUCGUCCUCUCGUCUCGUGAGAUGGUGUGUGAGUCCCGACACGAGAGCCACCCUUGCUCUUAUGUGAGCGCAUUGAGUCUGUCCUCUAAGAUCACUGCAGGUGAAAAACCGAAGGACGCUGGUGAUGAACGUCAUAUCAUCAUGCCCCUGAUCACCUGGGCUACCACACGUGCUACUAAUCGCAUCGCACAUAGGCAGCGAACUCCGCGAGGUGAAGCC